rnacentral:sRNA from 1 species
AUAAAGAGAAUGGGAAAUGACUACUGGUACUCAAAUGGUAAAGAAUAAACUUAAUAAUAGUUCCAAGUGGUUUACAUUUGGACAAAAAAUUAGACCGUAGUUUCAAACUG